ensembl:lncRNA
UUUUUUAAAACUCAGUUCUCAUUAUAUUGACUGAAAGUAUUACAGCUUAAGAUAAUUUGUCCAAGACCUCUGUACCUUCUAUAAAACAUUUUGGUGGCUGAAAGCUUGAUAAAGACUUGAUCCUUGGCUUUGGAAAGGAAAACAAAACCCACAAUUAAGUAAUUGCAGGUGAUGAGGGGUUCAGUGAGGAAAGAAUUGCUUUUAGCUGCCUCCUUUCAUCAGGGAGGACAUACGGGGUCUAGUAAUUAAUUUAAACUUUUAAAAUGGGUAAAUGACCUUUAAAACUGGAUGGAAGACAGGAAGAAAAAUAAAGGUGCAGAUGUGGCAAAGAAGAACAUUUUGGUCCUGUUGAGUUGCGUGAGAGUCAACACUAAAGAGCCCCAGAAAUGAAGGCACGUUGAGGCCAUGUUGCAGAGCGAUCCCGCCAGGAGGUCAGCACAUGAUUCCACAGGCCGGGGAAACUCCAGAUGAUUCCAGAAAAUGCCAUAUCUGGAAUGAAGCGUGAUAUAAACUAGGUAAUUCUGUACUUCUGGAUCUUGAAAGCUCGACUGCAAAGUUUAGCUGAAGAGCUCAGCCUUGCUUUUUAGGAAUGCAUAGUCCCUUCUCGAAAAGUCAUUCUCUUAAUUGACUUUGGCUGCCUUGGGAAGGGUACCACGGGCGGGAGGUGGGGCUGUGUAUGAGGAGCAUCUGUGGUCAGCUCAGCUAGGUUUCUGGAGAUCAGCUGGGGGCGGGGAUCAGUAUUCUAUCAGGUGGUCCUCAUUUUGAAGCAGCAGGAAGGAUUUAAGAAGGAUGCAUUCAGUGACGUACAGACCACCUUUGAGGUUCCUGCAGAGACCUAGGCUAGCUUCUGUGAAGAAUGUCUUUGGUAAUUUGAUAGGGAUUUCAUUGCAUCUGUAGAUUGCCUUGGGUAGUGUAGUCCUUUUGACAACAUUGAGUCUUCCAAUCAAAGAACAUCGUAUAUCUUUUCUGUUUGUGUAGUCUUUGAUUUCUUUCAUCAACGUUUUAUAGUUUUCAGACUAUAGUUUUUUUGUCUCUUUAGGUAGGUUUAUUCCUGGGUAUUUUAUUUGUUUUGAUGCAAUUAUAAAUGGAAUGGUUUCUCUGAUGUCUCUUUCUGAUCUUUCAUUAUUAGUAUAUAGAAAUUCAAUUGGUUUCUGUGUGUUAAUUUUGUAGCCUGCAACUUUGCCAAAUUCAUUGAAGAGUUCUAACAGUUUUCUGGUGCUGUCUUUAGGGUUUUCUAAGUAUAGUAUCAUAUCAUCUGCAAACAGUGAUAGUUUUACUCCUUCUUUCCCAAUUUGAAUUCCUUUUAUUUCUUUUUCUUCUUUGAUUGCUGUGGCUAGAACUUCCACAACUAUGUUGAAGAAUGGUGAAAGUGGACAUCCUUGUCUUGUUCCUGAUCUUAGUGGGAAUGUUUCUAAUUUUUCACCAUUGAGAAUGACGUUAGCUGUGGGUUUUUCAUAUUUUUUUUAUUAUUUUGAAGUAGAUUCCCUCUAUCCCCACUCUCUGGAGAGUUCUUAUCAGAAAUAGAUGUUGAAUUUUGUUAAAAGCCUUUUUUGCAUCUAUUGAGAUAAUCAUAUAGUUUUUAUUCUUUAGUUUGUUGAUGUGGUUUAUCACAUUGAUAGAUUUGCAGACACUGAAGAAUCCUUGCAUCCCUGAGAUAAAUCCUACCUGAUCAUGGUAUGGUGUAUGAUCCUUUUAAUAUAUAUUUGGAUUCGGUUUGCUAAUAUUUUGUUGAGCAUUUUUGCAUCUAUGUUCAUCAGUGAUACUGGUCUGUAAUUUUCUUUUUUUGUGGUAUCUUUGUCUGGUUUUGGUAUCAGGGUGAUGGUGGCCUCAUAGAAUGAGCUUGGGAGUGUUCCUUCCACUGUGAUUUUUUUGAAAGAGUUUCAGAAGAAUAGGUGUUAACUCUUCUCUGAAUGUUUGAUAGAAUUCACCUGUAUAGCCAUCUGGUCCUAGACUUAUUUUUUGGAAGGUUUUUAGUGACUAUUCAGUUUUGUUACUUGUGAUUGGUCUGUUCAUAAUUUCAAUUUCUUCCUGAUUCAGUCUUGGUAGGCUGUAUCUUUGUAAGAAUCUGUGCAUUUCUUUUAGGUUGUCCAUUUUAUUGGCAUAAACUUGCUUAUAGUAUUCUCUUAUCCUUUGUAUAUAUGUGGGAGUCAGUCGUGAUUUCUCCUUUUUCAUUUCUAAUUUUAUUGAUUUGUGCCUUUUUUUUUUUUUUUUUAAAUGAGUCCAGCUAAAGGUUUUUCAAUUUUGUGGAUCUUUUCCAGGAACCAGCUUUUGAUUUCAUUGGUCUUCUCUGUUGUUUUGUCUUUAUUUCAUUUAUUUUGUGCUCUGAUCUUUAGGAUUUCCUUCCUUCUAAUUUCAGGCUUUGUCUCUUUUUCCUUGUCUAAUUGUUUUGGUUGCAAGGUUAGGUUGUUUGAGCUGCUUCUUUCUUUCUUGAGGUAAGAUUGUAUUACUAUUAACUUCCCUCUCAGAACUGCUUGUGUUUUCUUGAUUCUCUGUCUGGAUGAUCUGUCUCUUAAUGUAAGUAGGAUGGUAGACUCCCCCACUAUGAUUGUGUUGCUGUCAGCAAUUGCCUUAUAUAUUGAGGUACUCCUAAAUCGGGUGCAUAUAUAUUUACAGUUGUUAUUUCUUCUUCUUGGGUUGGUCCUUUCGCUAUUAGGUAGUGCCCUUCUUUGUCUUUUGUGAUUUUCUUUAAAGUCCAUUUUGUCUGAAAUGAGUAUUGCUACUCCUGCUUUCCUUUGAUUUCCAUUUGCAUGUAAUAUCUUCUUCCAUCCCCUCACUUUCACUCUGUGUGUCCUUCAGUCUGAAGUGAGUCUCUUACACACAGCAUAUACAUGGGUCUUGUUUUUGU